CUACGGGUCGCUCCAGUAAGGAAUAUUGCGCAAUGGAGGCAACUCUGACGCAGCCAUGCCGCGUGCAGGAAGAAGGCCUUAUGGGUCGUAAACUGCUUUUAUUUAGGAAUAAACCCCCGAACGUGUUCGGGGCUGAAGGUACUAAACGAAUAAGCACCGGCUAACUCCGUGCCAGCAGCCGCGGUAAUACGGAGGGUGCAAGCGUUAUCCGGAUUUAUUGGGUUUAAAGGGUGCGCAGGCGGGCUAUUAAGUCAGUGGUGAAAUCCCGGGGCUCAACUCCGGAACUGCCAUUGAUACUGAUAGUCUUGAGUUUGGUUGAAGUGGGCGGAAUGUAGCAUGUAGCGGUGAAAUGCAUAGAUAUGCUACAGAACACCAAUCGCGAAGGCAGCUCACUAAGCCAAAACUGACGCUCAUGCACGAAAGCGUGGGGAUCAAACAGGAUUAGAUACCCGUGUAGUC
rnacentral:rRNA from 1 species